GGAACGCCGCCAGCUCUGGACACCCGGCUCAGUGAAACCUACUUUCCAAGCAAGCAGCCUUUCCAGAGCUGACAGGAAAAAGGUUCAAUACGCGAAGCUGAAGAAUCCACUUACUCCCCCGAAUCAGAGAUUCUACCCCAUCUGUCUACCCCAGUCUACCCUCAGUCUGUGCAGUAACCAUAAUGUGGUCUCCUAGCUUCAGCUAAUUUGACCAAGAAUGGUCACCUUGCACAAGGUAGAUUGUAGAGAGUCAAUUGGCAGCAACCUCUGACUUACGUGGCCUAACUCAAAAAGAUGCGAAAUCAGAGCGAAAUUACCAGCUGAUAGUGAGACAGAAGGAUGCAGCUUCGUGGAGCAGAGUCAAGCCAAAUUAAUGACAAAGGAUUAAACUGGAACAGCAUUGAUGGUCACCUGUGCUGGGGUCCCAGUGCUGAGGGUGUUUAAUGAAGGAGCUGUUUACUGAAGUGUGAGCAAAGUCAAGGGUAGAGCAUCUAUGGACAAGCAAUCCUGAGAAGCCAUUACCACCCUAGGGCUGAAGGAGCACAGAGAGGAGACUUCAUAGGAAAUCAUCAGAGCUAUAGCUGUAAACGUGGGGCCAGCAGUCUACAAACUAUUUGUUACCAUCUGGGAAGAGAUAAGAACAGAAUUUGAAAGUGAGUGUUUAGAAACCUCUAUACCAAUUUAACAGACUAAUGUUAUGUUUGUUGAAUCAAAUAAUAUAAAACCUAGGGAUUAUAUUUUGUAGGUCUUUGGGCUUUUUAAUUUCACUUUUCUAGUAAUUCAUUUUGUUGUUUUUAAGAAGUAUUGGUCAGUGGUGGGAUGGUAAUUUAAAAAGAUCAUUCACCACUGAUAGUUUGAAAAACACUAGUACAGGGGCACCUGGGUGGCACAGCACUUAAGCAUCUGCCUUCGGCU
rnacentral:lncRNA from 1 species